rnacentral:rRNA from 1 species
UCCGUAGGCGGGUCAUUAAGUCAGAGGUGAAAUCCCACAGCUUAACUGUGGAACUGCCUUAGAUACUAGUGAUCUUGAGUUUUAGUGAAGUAGAUAGAAUGUGUAGUGUAGCGGUGAAAUGCAUAGAUAUUACACAGAAUACCGAUUGCGAAGGCAGUCUACUAACUAACAACUGACGCUAAUGGACGAAAGCGUGGGGAGCGAACAGGAUUAGAUACCCUGGUAGUCC